AGCCCAUCGUUCUUUCUCUCUCUUCUGAAUCGAAGCGUUUUCUUGUCUCUUCACUCGUCAGGUAUGAUAAUAAUAAUAAUGACGAUAAAACCAACUGUUGCCUUGAGGGCUGCACUUGUUGGAGGUUUAGCAGCAUUUGCAAAGAUUGCAGGUGCAGCUAAAGCAGCUGGUGGUGCAAAACUGGGGGUGGCUGCUGCCGCCAUGACUGCUGCAGCAACUGCAGCUGUGUCAUCCGGAUCAAAACAGGAAUCUAAGGACCAAACCACUAUGUGAAAGUGAUAUCUAAGUUACUCUUAUUACUUUUGAAGAUUCAACUAGUUAUUAAUAAUAUACUCUCAACUCCUUUUUAAUGGGAUGGAUGAGGAGACAGCUUUCAUUUGUUUACCUGAAAUAUGUUCUGG